AUUAUCCACUUGCAGCGGGGGUAUCAUCAGUGAGCAGUAGCUCGCAGUUUCACUUGUUUUUUUAAGUUUGAGCUCUGUCUCAUUUUGGUACAGAAGUUGCUACUUGCUAACUGUGAUAGACAAAAAUGACAUCUUGGUGGUAACAUUUAUUUAUUAAAAAUUAAUUUCAACAAAAAUAUGUAAUCCCAACGUAUCAUACAGACAGGGCGCGAUCUGAGAUCAACUUUGCAGGG
rnacentral:lncRNA from 1 species